rnacentral:rRNA from 1 species
UACAGAGGUCUCAAGCGUUGUUCGGAUUCAUUGGGCGUAAAGGGUGCGUAGGCGGCGCGGUAAGUCGGGUGUGAAAUCUUGGAGCUUAACUCCGAAACUGCAUUCGAUACUGCCGUGCUUGAGGACUGGAGAGGAGACUGGAAUUUACGGUGUAGCGGUGAAAUGCGUAGAUAUUGGGAGGAACACCAGUGGCGAAGGCGGCUCACUGGACCGGUUCUGACGCUGAUGCGCGAAAGCGUGGGGAGCAAACAGG